AUUGAACGCUGGCGGCAGGCCUAACACAUGCAAGUCGAGCGGAUGAAGGGAGCUUGCUCCUGGAUUCAGCGGCGGACGGGUGAGUAAUGCCUAGGAAUCUGCCUGGUAGUGGGGGAUAACGUCCGGAAACGGGCGCUAAUACCGCAUACGUCCUGAGGGAGAAAGUGGGGGAUCUUCGGACCUCACGCUAUCAGAUGAGCCUAGGUCGGAUUAGCUAGUUGGUGGGGUAAAGGCCUACCAAGGCGACGAUCCGUAACUGGUCUGAGAGGAUGAUCAGGCACACUGGAGCUUGGACACGGGCCAGGCUUCUACGGGGAGCAGCAGUGGGGAAUAUUUGGCAAUGGGCGAAAGCCUUGUCCAACCAAGCCGCGUGGGGGAAGAAGGUCUUCGGGUUGGAAAGCACUUUAAGUUGGGAAGAAAGGCAGUAAGUUAAUACCUUGCUGUUUUGACGUGACCAGCAGAAUAAGCACCGGCUAACUUCGUGC
rnacentral:rRNA from 1 species